rnacentral:rRNA from 1 species
AGCGAACGCUGGCGGCAGGCUUAACACAUGCAAGUCGAACGGGCGUAGCAAUACGUCAGUGGCAGACGGGUGAGUAACGCGUGGGAACGUACCUUUUGGUUCGGAACAACCCAGGGAAACUUGGGCUAAUACCGGAUAAGCCCUUACGGGGAAAGAUUUAUCGCCGAAAGAUCGGCCCGCGUCUGAUUAGCUAGUUGGUGAGGUAACGGCUCACCAAGGCGACGAUCAGUAGCUGGUCUGAGAGGAUGAUCAGCCACAUUGGGACUGAGACACGGCCCAAACUCCUACGGGAGGCAGCAGUGGGGAAUAUUGGACAAUGGGCGCAAGCCUGAUCCAGCCAUGCCGCGUGAGUGAUGAAGGCCCUAGGGUUGUAAAGCUCUUUUACCCGGGAAGAUAAUGACUGUACCGGGAGAAU